GGCUUAAUGGUCUAGAGGUAUGAUUCUCGCUUUGGGUUUAUUAGCUUAGUCUGCGAGAGGUCCUGGGUUCGAUUCCCAGUUGAGCCC
rfam:Nadsonia fulvescens var. elongata DSM 6958 unplaced genomic scaffold NADFTscaffold_7, whole genome shotgun sequence.